rnacentral:misc_RNA from 1 species
UCUCCGUAGGUGAACCUGCGGAGGGAUCAUUACAGAGUUCUCGCCCUCACGGGUAGAUCUCCCACCCACUGUUAUCGUUACUGUCGUUUCUUUGGCGGGCCGCCGGGUCCCCGGCCGCCGUCGCCUGGCUGCCGGCGCGCGCCCGCCAGAGGACUUCAAACUCUGAAUGUUAGUGUCGUCUGAGUACUAUAUAAUAGUUAAAACUUUCAACAACGGAUCUCUUGGUUCUG